GACGAACGCUGGCGGCGUGCUUAACACAUGCAAGUCGAACGGUGAAGCGCCUUCCUUUUUGGUGGGUGUGGAUGAGUGGCGAACGGGUGAGUAACACGUGAGUAACCUGCCCCCUUCUUCUGGAUAACCGCAUGAAAGUGUGGCUAAUACGGGAUAUUCUGGGUCUGUCGCAUGAUGGGUCUGGGAAAGAUAUUGUUUCGGUGGGGGAUGGGCUCGCGGCCUAUCAGCUUGUUGGUGGGGUGAUGGCCUACCAAGGCGGUGACGGGUAGCCGGCCUGGGAGGGUGGACGGCCUCACUGGGACUGAGACCCGGCCCAGACUGCUACGGGAGGCAGCAGUGGGGAAGAUUGCACAAUGGGGGCAAGCCUGAUGCAGCGACGCCGCGUGAGGGAUGGAGGCCUGCGGGUUGUGAACCUCUUUCGCCAGUGAAGCAGGCCUGCCUCGUUUGUGGGUGGGUUGACGGUAGCUGGAUAAGAAGCGCCGGCUAACUACGUG
rnacentral:rRNA from 1 species